rnacentral:rRNA from 1 species
AUGAACGCUAGCGACAGGCCUAACACAUGCAAGUCAGGGGCAGCACAAGGAGCAAUCUGAGGUGGCGACCGGCGCACGGGUGAGUAACACGUAUGCAACCUGCCUGUAAGCGGGGAAUAACCCGUUGAAAGACGGACUAAUACCGCAUAAUACUAAAUUACUGCAAUGGUAAUUUAUUUAAACAUUUAUGGCUUACAGAUGGGCAUGCGCAUGAUUAGCUAGUUGGAGAGGUAACGGCUCCCCAAGGCAACGAUCAUUAGGGGUUCUGAGAGGAAGGUCCCCCACACUGGUACUGAGACACGGACCAGACUCCUACGGGAGGCAGCAGUGAGGAAUAUUGGUCAAUGGACGAGAGUCUGAACCAGCCAAGUCGCGUGCAGGAAGAAUGUUCCCUAUGGAUUGUAAACUGCUUUUGCAGGGGAAUAAAGUGCAUCACGUGUGAUGUUUUGUAUGUACUCUGCGAAUAAGGAUCGGCUAACUCCGUGCCAGCAGCCGC